rnacentral:rRNA from 1 species
UACGUAGGGUGCAAGCGUUGUCCGGAAUUAUUGGGCGUAAAGAGCUCGUAGGCGGUUUGUCGCGUCUGCUGUGAAAACUCGAGGCUCAACCUCGGGCCUGCAGUGGGUACGGGCAGACUAGAGUGCGGUAGGGGAGAUUGGAAUUCCUGGUGUAGCGGUGAAAUGCGCAGAUAUCGGGAGGAACACCGGUGGCGAAGGCGGUUCUCUGGGCCUUACCUGACGCUGAGGAGCGAAAGCGUGGGGAGCGAACAGG